rnacentral:RNase_P_RNA from 1 species
AGAGUCGGCUGAGCAGUCGCUGUUUUAUUGUAAUGAUAGAAGAGAGGAAAGUCCGGGCUUCAUAGGGUAGAGUGCCAGAUAAUGACUGGGAGGCGUGAGCCUACGGAAAGUGCUGAAGAAAUUAAACCGCCUGAUCUUAAUUAGUUAAGAUUCGGUAAGGGUGAGAAGGUGCGGUAAGAGCGCACCGCACAAUUGGUAACAGGCGUGGCAAGGUAAACCCCACUCGAAGCAAGAUCAAAUAGAGAAACAGAGGUGUUACCCGCAUCGUUUCUGGGUAGAUUGCUUGAGCGACAAGGUGACUUGUCGCCUAGAUGAAUGACUGUUUUUAACAAAACCCGGCUUAUAGGCUGACUCUUUUU